UAAAUACUAAUACCAGAUCGAUAGUGCACAAGUACCGUGAGGGAAAGGUGAAAAGAACUGAGGUGAUCAGAGUGAAAUAGAACCUGAAACCAUUUGCUUACAAUCAUUCAGAGCCCUAUGUAGCAAUACAGGGUGAUGGACUGCCUUUUGCAUAAUGAGCCUGCGAGUUGUGGUGUCUGGCAAGGUUAAGCAAACGCGAAGCCGUAGCGAAAGCGAGUCUGAAUAGGGCGCUUAGUCAGAUGCUGCAGACCCGAAACGAAGUGAUCUAUCCAUGAGCAAGUUGAAGCUAGUGUAAGAACUAGUGGAGGACUGAACCCAUAGGCGUUGAAAAGCCCCGGGAUGACUUGUGGAUAGGGGUGAAAGGCCAAUCAAACUUCGUGAUAGCUGGUUCUCUCCGAAAUAUAUUUAGGUAUAGCGUUGUGUCGUAAUAUAAGGGGGUAGAGCACUGAAUGGGCUAGGGCAUACACCAAUGUACCAAACCCUAUCAAACUCCGAAUACCUUAUAUGUAAUCACAGCAGUCAGGCGGCGAGUGAUAAAAUCCGUCGUCAAGAGGGAAACAACCCAGACUACCAGCUAAGGUCCCUAAAUCUUACUUAAGUGGAAAACGAUGUGAAGUUACUUAAACAACCAGGAGGUUGGCUUAGAAGCAGCCAUCCUUUAAAGAAAGCGUAAUAGCUCACUGGUCUAGUGAUUUUGCGCGGAAAAUAUAACGGGGCUAAAGUAAGUACCGAAGCUGUAGACUUGCACACAACUUAGAUUAUUUAAGUUUAGAAUAUGAGAAACUAAGUUAUAUGUUUAGUUAUAUUUUUACUGAUUUUUAUAGAGUAAAGAUAGAAAUAAAACUUAGUAAAAUCAGUAAAAAUAUUCUUAGACUAAAGUUAAGUAGUUUAAGUUGUGUGCAAGUGGUAGGAGAGCGUUCUAUUUGCGUCGAAGGUAUACCGGUAAGGAGUGCUGGAGCGAAUAGAAGUGAGCAUGCAGGCAUGAGUAGCGAUAAUUAAUGUGAGAAUCAUUAACGCCGUAAACCCAAGGUUUCCUACGCGAUGCUCGUCAUCGUAGGGUUAGUCGGGUCCUAAGUCGAGUCCGAAAGGGGUAGACGAUGGCAAAUUGGUUAAUAUUCCAAUACCAACAUUAGUGUGCGAUGGAAGGACGCUUAGGGCUAAGGGGGCUAGCGGAUGGAAGUGCUAGUCUAAGGUCGUAGGAGGUUAUACAGGCAAAUCCGUAUAACAAUACUCCGAGAACUGAAAGGCUUUUUGAAGUCUUCGGAUGGAUAGAAGAACCCCUGAUGCCGUCGAGCCAAGAAAAGUUUCUAAGUUUAGCUAAUGUUGCCCGUACCGUAAACCGACACAGGUGGGUGGGAUGAGUAUUCUAAGGCGCGUGGAAGAACUCUCUUUAAGGAACUCUGCAAAAUAGCACCGUAUCUUCGGUAUAAGGUGUGGUUAGCUUUGUAUUAGGAUUUACUCCGAAAGCAAGGAAACUUACAACAAAGAGUCCCUCCCGACUGUUUACCAAAAACACAGCACUCUGCUAACUCGUAAGAGGAUGUAUAGGGUGUGACGCCUGCCCGGUGCUCGAAGGUUAAUUGAUGGGGUUAGCAUUAGCGAAGCUCUUGAUCGAAGCCCGAGUAAACGGCGGCCGUAACUAUAACGGUCCUAAGGUAGCGAAAUUCCUUGUCGGUUAAAUACCGACCUGCAUGAAUGGCGUAACGAGAUGGGAGCUGUCUCAAAGAGGGAUCCAGUGAAAUUGUAGUGGAGGUGAAAAUUCCUCCUACCCGCGGCAAGACGGAAAGACCCCGUGGACCUUUACUACAGCUUGACACUGCUACUUGGAUAAGAAUGUGCAGGAUAGGUGGGAGGCUUUGAGUAUAUGACGCCAGUUGUAUAUGAGCCAUUGUUGAGAUACCACUCUUUCUUAUUUGGGUAGCUAACCAGCUUGAGUUAUCCUCAAGUGGGACAAUGUCUGGUGGGUAGUUUGACUGGGGCGGUCGCCUCCCAAAUAAUAACGGAGGCUUACAAAGGUUGGCUCAGAACGGUUGGAAAUCGUUCGUAGAGUAUAAAGGUAUAAGCCAGCUUAACUGCAAGACAUACAAGUCAAGCAGAGACGAAAGUCGGUCUUAGUGAUCCGGUGGUUCUGUGUGGAAGGGCCAUCGCUCAAAGGAUAAAAGGUACCCCGGGGAUAACAGGCUGAUCUCCCCCAAGAGCUCACAUCGACGGGGAGGUUUGGCACCUCGAUGUCGGCUCAUCGCAUCCUGGGGCUGGAGCAGGUCCCAAGGGUAUGGCUGUUCGCCAUUUAAAGCGGUACGCGAGCUGGGUUCAGAACGUCGUGAGACAGUUCGGUCCCUAUCUGCCGUGGGCGUAAGAAGAUUGAAGAGAUUUGACCCUAGUACGAGAGGACCGGGUUGAACAAACCACUGGUGUAGCUGUUGUUCUGCCAAGAGCAUCGCAGCGUAGCUAAGUUUGGAAAGGAUAAACGCUGAAAGCAUCUAAGCGUGAAGCCAACUCUAAGAUGAAUCUUCUCUAAGCUCUCUAGAAGACUACUAGUUUGAUAGGCUGGGUGUGUAAUGGAUGAAAGUCCUUUAGCUGACCAGUACUAAUAGAGCGUUUGGCUUAUCUUUAAUAAAGCAU
rnacentral:rRNA from 2 species